CUAUGGCCCCGCAGGCGGGUGGCGCCUCGCGCCGCCGCCCCCGCUCCCCACAGCGCCCCUGAGGGGCAGGACGUGAUGCGGGCUCGCAAAUCGCAGGGUGUCCGCCGCUGGGAGGCAUCCGCGGGGACCAUGGAGCCCAGCUCCUGUGCGCACACACCGCAAGAAUCACACCGUGUGCCUGAGAACGCUUCCUCAGCUCAGCCUUAGUGCUGGGACCGCUGCCCUGCGGAGCCUGUUCCAGUGGCCAGCCACUUUCUGGGUGAAGAGCCCUUUUCUGAUAUGCAGCAUAAACCUCCCCUGACACAGCUCCAGGCCAUUCCCCCAGCUCCCGGCACUGGUUGCCAGGUGGAUCAGUGCCUGCUGCCCCUCAUGAGGACGCUGAAGACCACAAUGAGAUGUCCCCUCAGUCUCCUCCAGACUUCCCAAGCUGGUCACGGCUGAUACAUACGGUGUGUCUGUGACUUUGGGGGUUUUAACAACGCAGAACCCGCUGGGAGAAGUCUAUAAGAUGCACACAAAAUCAGCCGGUGUCCAAGACAAUUCUGCAUGAUCAAAGAAGAAACAGACAAAUCUCCCAUGUUAAGUAUUCUCUAAACUAUCCACAUCAUCCUGAGUUGUUGUUCCAAUGACAAAUUAUAAUUUCAUUUUAGAUUAAGCUUGAUUCCAACCCAAGGUUACAUUUCUUAUGGGUUGAUAAUAAUAAACUGCAUCUUCUUGUUUAAAGCUAAAUAAAUGCAAGACUGUUUAAAAAUUUGGUUCCUAUCACAGUGUUUCUAAGCUGACAAAAUGUUACCUGGUAGGUGACGUGCACGACAGGCGGUUCCUGGGAGCAGGGGUAGGCUAAAGAUAUCCUCCUCCCGUUCCUAGCCAAGUCUGUUAUUUCAGAAAGACUCAGCUGUAACUCAUUGAAACUGCCACAAAGUCUCUCUAAAUUUCUGGAUAUGUGACUCAUUCCCCUUUCACUUGGCAAAUUGUUGUUUUUAGGAGAAUGUGAUGCUUCUUGGAUCAUGUUGAACUGCACUUUGGGAGAUGUUGGUCUGCUGGAAAUCCUGCUGGGUGAUCCAAAACCACGAAGAGACACUGAGCGAUUCAUAGGUUCAGCAUCCAAUGUUUCCAAGGCCACCGAGGAGUCACCUGGGAGCCUUUUCUCAUCCAGGUCACUCACACUUGAUGAAGAGCUCUGCUCAUAGCUAGGGAUCUUUACUUCUUCAAUGAGUCUUCUCCUGCCACUUGGAGACUGAAUAACUGUGCUUCUUGGUAUUAACAACUCCCUGCUUUGAGGCUGGUCUUCUGUGGCAAGGUUCUCAAAGAAUUUUCUUUUCCCAGGUAUAUUAACAGAGGAUUCAAAGUUAUAAAACAUAUUCUGCUUAGUCUCAGGCAAUGCUGAAGAAUUUUCUUCCAGCAUCAAUUCUUUGACCAUAAGACGCAUUACAUACCUGUCUGAACUUGAAGAUGGAAUGAGAUUAGGAUCAGGGAACCUCUGCUUGCCAAUCAGAAUCAAUAAGAGUUUAUCUGUUAAAAAGCAUAGGCCCUUUGGUCUUUCAUUUUUUUCCAGCUGGAUUUGUUGAAUGUGAGGCAUAGAGGAAGAGGUUACUGAAUACACCAGAACAAUAUUAGAAGUAUUAGAGGCUACUGCCACAAUCUGAGCUCUAAGGUCAAAAGCCAUUAUAUCAGGAACCGGAAUACCUGGGAUGGUGACUUUUCUGGUGGUCGUUACCUUCCUCUCAAAAGUCACCAAGAUCAAGUGAGAAGAAUCUUGACCAUUUGCUCCUGCAGAGUCUUUGCGUUUCAGAGUAAUGAGAGGACUGGGAUCAGACCGACGGUGGUUUGCAAGGAUAUGGGUCAAAUCCACGGGACCUGAUGAAGAAGAAGCAACUGAAUCAACACCUGAUCUAUCUGAAUCUAUGGACUUUCUUCGUGUGUCCAUGGAGUAUUCCUCGUCACCAAGCACCAAAGCAGACUGUGAGAUUAAAGAAGCAGCUUCUGUACCAGAGGGCACAUCAAAUGCAAUGCCUGCAUUGAAACCACAGAUGUUAUCUAAAGGAAGCUCAGUAGCUACAGCAAUUUGGAAAUCCAGAGUGGCUUCUAUAGCACAGAUGUAACCUCCCACAUCAAAAACUGGGCAAAAGGAGCAGAUAUUUAGAGUUUUCUGAGCAUUAUCCCAUAUGUAGGAGUGCAGGGUAGUGCCUAUAGCAACUACUAAACGAUUACCAUCCUUAGUCCAGCAAGCACAGUGGAUGAGUCCGCUGCUUUUGAUGUCUGCCUUAACCCGCGUAUUGUCAGUGCGAACGGCGUGCAAGACUGAAGCAUCUCGUUUUGUAAGCACAGCCAAGACCUCCUUCUUUGGAUUCCAGACACAGCCCUGAGAAAGCAGUGGAAAUGGUUCACCAACUUCACAAGUCUGAGAAAUCAAGGGCUUUUUCUUCUCUGCACUGCUGUAGACCAGCUGCCAAACGCUUACGUGCUUUUUGUGCUGAACAGCGAGCAGAGCUGGGGUGUCUGUAGAGCAAUAUGGGCCCCAGUACAGCCCAUGCACAUGUUCAAAUUGACCAAGAAUGCUUGAGUCUCCAAACUUCAGCUCUCCAUUUUGAUAGUAUAAAGUAGUCAGUAUCACUUGCUUCCCAUCUGUCCAGGCAAUUCCAUGCACAGGGUGGAUAGCUUGAUAUAAAGCAUUGAGACCAGUUCUCAGCAGCUUUGCCUUUCCCAGAUCCAUCUUUUAGGCUUUCUUUCUAAUGGGUAUAGUUCCAAAAUAGAGAAUCCAUGGAAUUCACUUGCAGAUCACCAUGAGAAAGUUUUUUUCUCAUGUCUCCUUCCCUUCCUUUCCAGCAUCACGCUGCUAAUUUUCUGCUAAUAAUCCAAGAGACUAUAUUGUGCACUCCUUCUCGGGAGGCCUGCAGCUGCUCUUCUAAGUAUAAAUCCAUGUCAAAGCUGCUUUGGCUAUGUCUUUUCCUGGGAGGAGUUAUCAUCUUCAUGUGAUUGCUAACAAGGUUUAACCAAUUACUGUGCGUUUUCGUAGAAGGCUAUUUUUAACUCUUCAGUGCUGGGAAUAUAUUUAAAAAUAACACUAAUGCAUUGACCUUCAGUGAAUGAAGGUCUUUACCAAAGAGAGAGAUCAUAUACUGGUAAGCCUAAGUAUUAAGCUACAGCCUGAAAUAAUGACCUGACACUUCUUUCAGCUAGCCUUUGAAGGAUGAAAGAAGAUUUAAACAUAACUGAGAACUGUACAAGGCAGAUUGCAAUCUGUGAUGGGCAGCAUCUUUCAAAGAGACAAGAUCUGAAAUGGCUAUGAAAGGAAAGUAGAAAAGGGAAAUCAUGCUCUGUUCUGUUAGUAGUUGCAAGAGAACAGAAGAAGGUGAGAUUAAAAAAAAAAAACCAAAAAAACAAACACCCAAACUAAAAAGCCCCAAAUACAUAGUCUAGAAGCAAAGAGAGCUGAUUGGUGAUUAGUGUUCAUUUUACUGGGACAUACUUCCUAGCCACAAUAUAUAUUGAUUUCUUUCUUGGUCUUCCUAGCCACCUGUAUCUGAGGGCUGUUCUCUCAUUAUACAGACAGAAUGCAGAGAGGAAUCCAAAAAUUUCCUGUUUCUCCUAACCCUGCAUUUCCCACAAUAUGUAACAUAACAUCUUGCAAGAUCCUUGAGUCGUCAAAGACCAAAAGACCCAGCCAAUAAACAGCUGUAGCACAGUGGGGCUGUGGGAGGAUGCAGCAGUUUGGGUGGGCUGUGUUGUUUCAGGCCCAGAGCUGGGCCAGAUGGACUGCCUUGGGUGUUUCCACCCUUCCCUCCUCAGCACAGCCCUCUCUGGGGUUAGCUUGGACACUGUGUGUGUAUGGCUGAGCAUAAAUAGUCAGGGUGGGAUUAAUUAUCUUAAAUAUAAGCACUCAUUGCUAUUUUCAGUGCCCCAGGAUGUCUCAGACAGCCACACUGAGCUGGCAGGUACAACACAGGACUUAGAGAAGAGUAGUGCCAUUCUGGGGUGGCAGCUGGCAACAAAGAGAUGAUCCCCAGAUAGUCCCUGGGCUGCCUAAGAUGGCAUUAGAAGCUUAUAAGCAGAAUCUCGGUGUUAUCCUUCGGGAGAAACUGCCUGGGCCAAGGGUACCAGGCUGGCUUCAUCUGUCAUCUGUAAAUAGAGGCAUCUAGCAUGGGGACACAUAUGGUGGACAAGACACUGCUACAGCAAGACAAAAGUUUUGCCUCUUCUUGUAGAAGUUUAUAAAUUCUGUGAGCUCAUUUCUACCCCCAGGGAUAUGCUGCUAGAUGGCAACUCUCCAAAUGUCAUACGUGUAUAACUGACUGCAGUGACCUCUCUGACACUGGACCUUGGGGUCUCUAAAAUCCCUCUGGGUCUCAGGGAAGGCACCAGAGAUGCUCCAUCACAUCAUUUGAACUGGAGCUGUCCAUCACUCUUGCAGGUGUGUUGGCAGCAGCUUUCUUGAAGCUUGUGGCUCUGUAACAGAAAGGCAAAUAUGCAAUUCUAACAUAGAAAUCCAGCACAUCUCGAGGAGUAAAGUUGGUGAAGCAGUUGUUAAUCACCCAAGCCUUCCCUUUUGUGGUUUAAAGUGAGACUCUAGUUCAUUGGAGUGGAGAGAAGAGAACCUAGUCUUUUCAGAAGGCCAUUUAAUUCUCACUCAUCAAGGGUUUAAUGUUUUUUGGGUCUUCAAAACACUUAAGCAAAACUGGUUAGCAAAGCAGGGUGAUUGUGCAAACAUGGUCACAGAGAAUGAGAUUCAUGCCUCAUUUAAUUGUAGUGUGGGAUUCAUCCCACAAAUAAGUAUUUUUGCAUUAAAGUAAAUUGGUGUAGCCACCUACAUGAAGGUAGUACCUGAGCUCCCAUUAGGCAACAGCAUGGAGCCUCAGCUCUCUAACAUAUAUCUGCACAUACACACUACAGUUGUCUAAGUCAGACACUAAUUCACUUAAAAGUCAGUGAUGAGAAAUAGAUACUUUUAGGGCAUGAUUCAUUCCAUCCUAAAGUACCUAAAAUAGAUGAAUAGCUCUUGCUUUAUGAGUCUAGCUGAAGUACUCGGAUAGGAAAUGGGUAUGGACAGAUGAAUGCCAAGGAAUGGUUGCGUAGUCAUUACGUGCAUGUCUGUUCUAACUAGAACAUUUAUCAAAGAUCAGCCCACCAAUAGCUCUUUCUAGAGCUACAUGAUUCCUUCCCACACCCUUCCCACUGCUGAAUGCCCUCUCUGUCUCAAACCACUGUUUCUUGACUUAAUGCUCCCAUAUGUACAUGCCAGUCUCUUGUACACACUUUAGAAAGCAAUCAGAUUUUCAAUAGAAACUCUAGCACUUAUGUUACAAAAAUUAUACUGGGCAGAAGAGCAUGAAAUGUUCUUUAGGAUAUAUUUCUGUCUUGGCAAAGAGAGGGAAUGAAUGAUCUAAUGGGUCUUUCCAUCUGUAAGUCAACAUUCAGCUUCCAAAUUAUGACAGUCUUUUUCUUCACAGACAUUAAAAGUAUUUGUUUUUGAAGCGGUCUCAUAUUAGUACCUUCUUUUUUACAUGAUGAUGUAAAUUUAUACCCUUGAAGUGAUAUUUUUAUAAUUCCCACCAGACACAUCAGAUAACUUAGGAACCUCUUGCAUGGUUAAAUGCUCUCUGCCACAGUGUGCAUACUCAGAUCACUCUCAAUUGAAAACCCAUUGAGACUUGAAGAACAAAGGAUAGCAAUAUUUUUAGCAGAUUCAUAUUUGUUCCAGCUUGGUAAGUUGAAAAGGUCACUAAACUCUGUCAGCUCUGGGAAAAUAAUUUAUUAUUGUAAAGAAACUCAGGACAGCAUGAGCUGGACAUAAUCCUCUAUCCAAACUGGUAGGUUGACAAUGACAGAGACAAACUCUUAGCAACACCUGUUUUAGAAAGUGCACUAGAAAGCAAAUUUUAUCAAAUAUAUCAAAAUUGGUUACUUCUGAAUCACAUGGGUUCUAGUAUCUAUUCAAGCAGUUAAACUGUGUUUGAGAAUAUUGAUUGAGAAAGAUUGUGGGGUCUCUCUUAUUGUGCUUGAUGUUUGGGGUGUGUUUGGUGAUAACACUUCCGAUGCCCAAGAUAGUUGAAUAGUUUGCUGUUGCUGGUUCUACUUGGGACAAUUUCAGAAGUGUCUGAAGAAAGCUGACUCCCAGCUGUAUUUGUAAAUGCUUGUAAUAAAACACCUUUAACUUGGCAUCCUAUAGAAAUGUUCUUGCUAGUUAGACUUAAUAGAAUCUCCCUACUUCCCUGAUAUAGACAA